UUACUGUCAUUUUUAUCUUAAUAAUUCUCCUUUAAUCUAUUCAGUCCUGUCUCUCUAGCCCUGGCCUUUUUCCUCUGACUCUGAGGUUUCAUCAUGCGUAUUCAGCCAGCAUCUUUCACCUAAAUAAUCCUUCAUUUUCAGAUUCUCAGAAGCAGUGUCUCAGCUGAAAGUCUAAUCCUGACUACUGUCUGUAAUGGCUCCCCAGGAGAACAGCAUUGUUUUUACUGGGCAGCAAUACAUGAGACAGAAGAAUAAUGAAGAUCAAUAAAGUACUGAGAAACCAGAGACUUCCACUGCUGGAGAAAAAAGAAAUGCUCAGGUUGCAGAGAAAAUUAGCACAUUUUGAAUAUCUAGACAAUCUGUCACUUCAUUUUUUCCUUCUGCACAUGAAAAAGAAGAAAGCCUCACAUAAAUUUGUGAAGACACAGUAUACCCUGCAGUGCAUGUUUGUUCACUGGCUUCAUCUGAGCCACUGGAAAACUCCACGUGUCGGAGAAGGCAUUCCUCCCAUUUGACUGAGCCACAGCCACAAAACAAGGAAAGCCUCAAAGCACGGAGAGAAAGUCGUCUGACAAUGCUAUUGCCAUCAACUGUCCCUCCACUGCCAUGAGAAAUCCGAAACACAGUGUCUGCCUGAAGAAGCACAGAGACUGCUAUUUCUUGUAGGCUUUGUGCUCAGUAUUAACAGCAUCUAAUCAAGUUACAGUAAGGAGCUGAAAAUAUCGCUGCAGACUUCAAGAGCAAUGGGGUAGAACACAAAGAUGAAACUGGGAUUAAGCAGCUGGAAUUUAUUCAAAAUACUAGCAAACUUUUUGAGUUGUGGAAUUAAUGGAAUGGAACUGCCUCUCAAGGAUGCAAAACAUUAAAAAGCUUGUAUUAAAUGAUAAAAAUUGAGUCUAGCACACCAUAUUCCUAUCAGACAGUAAUGUAUUUUUCUCUGCAUAAAUGGACUGUGUGAAUUAAGAGGAUUUUCAGUCUAUACUUUCUAAGAUUAUCAGCCUUACUAGUUAUAAGCAAGUAGGGACGUUUUUGUCAUACAAAGACAAAAAGUAGAGAAAAACCUUAGUUUCAUGUGAUAUUUAUUAUUGCUAGAGGAAUCUGCACAAUGUUAAGUACUGCUGUUUUAAAUAUUCAUUAUGGGCUUCCAACAACAAGUUUCCACUCGCUAAGCUUGACUCUUUCAUGAAUGUCUUUCUUGGGUCUUCUGCCCAAAUUCUACUUUCAAUCGGUUCUAAAUAUUAACAGUAUAAACUUUAAUAUACUUUGAAUUCUCAAUCUAUAAAAAAAGUGUAGGAGCCACCAAAGUUCAGAAACUACUUGGGAUAUGGUACGUUAAAAGAACCCCCAGAUUUCUAGAUGGUGGCUACCCUCAGAUUAGCAACAUGGACCAUUUUAGCAGGGGUAUGUCCUGCAGUUCAGCCACCUCAGCUUGGGAAUUCUUUGUGAAUAUAUUUCGUACAUAAUACUUAGGCAUCAUCUUCCAUCAAAUAAUUGAACUGGUGAUAAUCUAUAUCAGUAGUAAUACAUUUAUAUGCAAAUUAAAUUGCAGAAUGCUUAACCUCACUGCCAAAUAAAUUAUCACUGAACUGUAUAAUUUUAUUUCUUGAAGUAUAUAAUCUCUAUGGAAAGUGGAUACAUGUAAACACUGCUUGAUUGUAGUAUAUUCUGCAAAGGUUAUUUCACAGAGAUGAAAACAAGUUCCUUUUGAACCUGUUCUGCCUCAAAGGCAUGCUUUUCUUGCAUUAUCAGUAUGAACAUAUUACUGAAUUUCACUUUUGUUCUUUCAGUUGAAAAAUCUUCAAAUCUUCCUAUGUGUUGGUGCUCUUCCAUUCACUUUUCAGUCCUCUGAUGAUUUUUGUGUAUCUUUUUCAUUGUCAUUGUGUAACAAUCUAAUGAUCACAUCCCAGUCCUGAAAAUUCCACAGACUUAUUUUCCAAAGGGCAUGAAUGUCAGGCUUUUCCUCUAUUAUUCUGUUCUCCUUAAAAAGCCUCCUGAUAUCCUGGAACACAUUUCUGAUAUUUAGUUCAGUUUUUCUAGUUUUCUGCCUUCCAAAAUGUUACAUGUCUACAUGAAUUAUACACCUUA